rnacentral:lncRNA from 1 species
UGUGUUUUUUUUCAAAGAUCAAUAUCUUUGGUUUUCCAUUUCCUUCUCCAGCUCAAUUUACAGAUGAAGAACAGAGGCAAACAGGAUCAAGUGACUUGCCCAGGUCAUACAGAACAAAGUACUGAGCCUCAGUGAAAUUAUGUGACUUGCCAUGGGACUUGUAAGUAAUGAUAUCAAAGGCAUCAUUUGAACCCACAUCUUCAGGAUUCGGGGAAAGAGAUUACAGAAUCACUGAAUUUCAGAAGAUGGGGAUGAACUGGUUCAAUACAUACCUGAAUGAGAAUCCCUACCAAAGUACUGCAGAAAAGUGGACCUCCAGUAUCUAUUCAAAACCCUCUGUCAAAAAGGAGCCUGUUACCUCCUCAGAUAGGCGGGCAGGCAGUUUGCCAGGCGUGUUUGUUAUCCAGAUUCAAAUUAAUAAAGAGAAAUGUUGCCUAAUAUGAGCACUGCAAUCAAUAUGGGAGUUGACUGGAGAAACAGAGUCCAGGAUCUCAUCAUGUCUAUCAACCUAGGAAUGCAUUUGGAAAGUAUCAUCCUAUUUGGAGAUGACUAGGCUCCACUUGGGUUCCUCCCUCCUCAACCAGAGUUACUUUCGACAUGGCAAAAGAGACACUAAGCGGCAGUCUGAGGAUUUGAUAGAGUCCUGUUACUAUUCUGGUGUUUCCUUACACUACUGCCUGAGACUUAAUGCUUCUGUUGAAUUAGGGUGCUGGAAAUAUGUGUACUCUAAAGUUCCUACAUCAUCAUCAAGCUAGGUGGCAAUGAUAUCAUAACCAAGUAAAACCAUUCCCAAUUGACUGAAAUUUUAGCCUGUCAUUCUGACAGAAUUGAUAGAAGGAGGGAAGAGAAGUAUCUUCUCCUCCUUCAUUUUCACAUGUCUCAUUAUUUCCAGGGUUCUUUUAGUGCAAAAUUUCUGUAUCCAGUCCUGGAACUGAGAUUUAGUGUUGGAAGAGACUUUAGAGACAGCACAUUACAACUCUCUCAUAUUAGAGAGGAUGAAACUUAGCCAGAGAAGUCGAGUGACUUGCCUAACAUCACACUGGUAUGAGUUGCAAAGCCAGCAUUUGAACUCAGGUCCUCUGUAUACAAAUCCCCUUGGUCUCUCUUUAUUUCCUGGAGUAUUUUUAUUUAAGUGAAGUCAAGUUAGUCAACAACUCUGUGCAAAACUCUGGGUAUGCAAAGAAAGUAAAAAAACAGCUUUUCCAUAAAGGAACUUACAAUCAAAUGGGGGAAGCAAUAUGCAAGCAGCCAUGUACAAAUAAAACACAUAGAGGAGAAAUGAGAGAUAAUCUC